AUCAAUAGCCGGGUAUUUGGUAUUUUUAUCGAUCAGAUGAAAAUGAAAAGGGAACACGGUCCUAUUGGAUAAGCCGUGGCUGCCCCCGCAACUGUAAGCGUAGAGUUGUUGCUCACACAUGCCACUGAUGCUGUUGUUUAAAGCAGUGUUGGGAAGGCGGAGCAGCAAUAAGGACGCGCAAGCCAGGAGACCUGCCAGAUGCAGUCACUCACC
rnacentral:ncRNA from 2 species